AACGAACGCUGGCGGCAGGCUUAACACAUGCAAGUCGAGCGCGCCCUUCGGGUGAGCGGCGAACGGGUGAGUAACGCGUGGGAACGUGCCCCUUUCUUCGGAAUAGCCUCGGGAAACUGGGAGUAAUGCCGAAUACGCCGAGCCAUGGAGACAUGGUUUGGGAAAGAUUUAUCGGAGAGGGAUCGGCCCGCGUUGGAUUAGGUAGUUGGUGGGGUAAUGGCCUACCAAGCCGACGAUCCANAGCUGGUUUGAGAGGAUGAUCAGCCACACUGGGACUGAGACACGGCCCAGACUCCUACGGGAGGCAGCAGUGGGGAAUCUUGGACAAUGGGGGCAACCCUGAUCCAGCCAUGCCGCGUGAUCGAUGAAGGCCUUAGGGUUAGUAAAGAUCUUUCAGCUAGGGAAGAUAAUGACGGUACCAGCAGAAGAACGCCCCGGCUAACUCCGUGCCAGCCGCCG
rnacentral:rRNA from 1 species